AUUGAACGCUGGCGGCAGGCCUAACACAUGCAAGUCGAGCGGUUGAAGGGAGCUUGCUCCUGGAUUCAGCGGCGGACGGGUGAGUAAUGCCUAGGAAUCUGCCUGUGGGUGGGGGAUAACGUCCGGGAACGGGCGCUAAUACCGCAUACGUUCUGAGGGAGAAAGAGGGGGUUCUUCGGACCUCACGCUAUCAGAUGAGCCUAGGUCGGAUUAGCUAGUUGGUGGGGUAAAGGCCUACCAAGACGACGAUCCGUAACUGGUCUGAGAGGAUGAUCAGUCACACUGGAACUGAGACACGGUCCAGACUCCUACGGGAGGCAGCAGUGGGGAAUAUUGGACAAUGGGCGAAAGCCUGAUCCAGCCAUGCCGCGUGUGUGAAGAAGGUCUUCGGAUUGUAAAGCACUUUAAGUUGGGAGGAAGGGCAGUAAGUUAAUACCUUGCUGUUUUGACGUUACCAACAGAAUAAGCACCGGCUAACUUCGUG
rnacentral:rRNA from 1 species